UAAAAUUUAUUUUAAAUUCUAUAAUUUCUUAACCAUAUAUUUAAUUUACAAAAUGAAUGAUAGAAAACAAAUAACAUAAAUUCAUGAAGUAGCUCUCUCUCUUCUCCCUAGAUAGAGAGAGAAUUCUCUCUUAUCUUCCCUUCCCUCUUAACACACACCAAUCUUUCAGAGGGAGGAAGAAAUUAGCUUGUUUGUUUUUGUUGUAAGAUAUUUCUUCAACCGAAAGAUGGAGCUUGGAAUUCGACGAAUUUGGGAGGCAGCCAUACUUUCACAAAGGCUCAAACCUGAAGAAGAUCAACUCAAGAUGAUAGCACGGCGGAGGAACAGAGGCACGGCGGUGUAAAGCUGCGGAGAUGACGAUGCCUGCAUAAAGUCUCUGUUAUUGACACGUGUCUCGUAGAGCUUCUUGGUUUGGACGCGUGUAUUGUUGUGUGUUUGAGUUACUUUUAAAAUUCAUCAACUUUUAAAAUUUAUAAACUCUACAUAAAUUUAUCUCUCAAUAAUUCUCCAAGAUGUAAAUGUAUCUUCUGUAACUGUAAAAAUUAAAUAAAAAUAAAAUGUGACUGAAUGGUUGAACUA